rnacentral:rRNA from 1 species
UACGUAGGGGGCGAGCGUUGUCCGGAGUUACUGGGCGUAAAGCGCACGCAGGCGGUCUCAUUAGUCUGUAGGGACAGGGCACGGCUCAACCGUGUCAGGCUUAUGGAAACUGUGAGACUUGAGGGCUUCAGAGGGAUGGGGAAUUCCGGGGUGGAGUGGUGAAAUGCGUAGAGAUCCGGAAGAACACCAAAGGCGAAGGCAGCUCGCUGGGACGGUACUGACGCUGAGACGCGAAAGCGUGGGGGAGCAAAACAGG